AUGGUGGCGCUGUUUAGAAAAAUUUGAAAACAACACAAUUGGCAAUUUAUUUGGAUUUCGAAGAUCCUGGUCCUGGCUGAAAUUUAGAGUAUUGCAGCUGUAGUCUGUAUACCAUACACUCAACAUGAAAAGGACUGUCAGGAUGCUGCAUAAAAUGGUCUUAGCUAGAGCCUAGAAUGUUAAUUUCUUGGGAAUAUGCUGCAAGGAACUGACGGGGAGCAGUUUUUCUUACCAAUCAUAGAAGCAGUAAGAGACAGCCAAAGAAGUACUCAAACACCUGACAUACCCAGAAAGAUCUAGAAGAAAAGAUUGGAACAGAUUUUAGCUUAAUUGUUAAAACUAUUAAAGUGAAUUUAAGCUGCACUUGAACUGUAUUUUUUAAAUAAAAUAUCUGAAGUAUUUAA